rnacentral:rRNA from 1 species
UACGGAGGGUGCGAGCGUUGUCCGGAAUCACUGGGCGUAAAGGGCGCGUAGGCGGCUUGGGAAGUCCGUGGUGAAAGCCCGAGGCUCAACUUCGGGUCGGCCAUGGAUACUCCUAAGCUCGAGUCGACUAGAGGCUAAUGGAAUUCCGGGUGUAGCGGUGGAAUGCGUAGAGAUCCGGAAGAACACCGGUGGCGAAGGCGGUUAGCUGGGGUCGGACUGGACGCUGAGGCGCGACAGCGUGGGGGAGCAACAGGAUUACGAA